AGAGNUNNNUCCUGGCUCAGAACGAACGCUGGCGGCAGGCUUAACACAUGCAAGUCGAGCGCCCCGGUAACGGGGAGCGGCAGACGGGUGAGUAACGCGUGGGAAUCUACCCAACCCUACGGAAUAACGCAUGGAAACGUGUGCUAAUACCGUAUACGCCCUUUUGGGGAAAGAUUUAUCGGGGAUGGAUGAGCCCGCGUUGGAUUAGCUAGUUGGUGGGGUAAAGGCCUACCAAGGCGACGAUCCAUAGCUGGUCUGAGAGGAUGAUCAGCCACAUUGGGACUGAGACACGGCCCAAACUCCUACGGGAGGCAGCAGUGGGGAAUAUUGGACAAUGGGCGCAAGCCUGAUCCAGCCAUGCCGCGUGAGUGAUGAAGGCCCUAGGGUUGUAAAGCUCUUUCACCGGUGAAGAUAAUGACGGUAACCGGAGAAGAAGCCCCGGCUAACUUCGUGCCAGCAGCCGCGGUAAUACGAAGGGGGCUAGCGUUGUUCGGAAUUACUGGGCGUAAAGCGCACGUAGGCGGACAUUUAAGUCAGGGGUGAAAUCCCAGAGCUCAACUCUGGAACUGCCUUUGAUACUGGGUGUCUCGAGUAUGGAAGAGGUAAGUGGAAUUCCGAGUGUAGAGGUGAAAUUCGUAGAUAUUCGGAGGAACACCAGUGGCGAAGGCGGCUUANCNGGUCCAU
rnacentral:rRNA from 1 species